AGUAUGUGGACGUAGACCCGAAACCGUGUGAUCUACCCCUGUCCAGGGUGAAGGUGCGGUAACACGCACUGGAGGCCCGAACCCACGUACGUUGAAAAGUGCGGGGAUGAGGUGGGGGUAGCGGAGAAAUUCCAAUCGAACUCGGAGAUAGCUGGUUCUCCCCGAAAUAGCUUUAGGGCUAGCCUCGGUAUAAGAGUAGUGGAGGUAGAGCACUGAUUGGGUGCGGGGUCCGCAAGGAUUACCAAGCUCAGUCAAACUCCGAAUGCCAUAUACUUAUUGCCGGGAGUCAGACAGUGAGUGCUAAGAUCCAUUGUCAAAAGGGAAACAGCCCAGACCAUCAGCUAAGGUCCCCAAGUGUGUGUUAAGUGGGAAAGGAUGUGGAGUUGCACAGACAACCAGGAUGUUGGCUUAGAAGCAGCCACCAUUGAAAGAGUGCGUAAUAGCUCACUGGUCGAGUGACUCUGCGCCGAAAAUGUAACGGGGCUAAACACACCACCGAAGCUAUGGCUAGAUACGUAUGUAUCUGGGGUAGGGGAGCGUUGUGUAGGGGUUGAAGGUGUACUGAAAAGAGCGCUGGACACUACACAAGUGAGAAUGCCGGUAUGAGUAACGAAAAGAUCAGUGAGAAUCUGAUCCGCCGAAAGCCCAAGGUUUCCUGAGGAAGGCUCGUCCGCUCAGGGUAAGUCGGGACCUAAGGCGAGGCCGAAAGGCGUAGUCGAAGGACAACAGUUUGAAAUUACUGUACCACCGUAAUCCGCUAUGAGCGAUGGGGUGACGCAGGAGGGUAGUGACGCGGACUGAUGGAUGUCCGUCUAAGCAGUGAGGCUGAUGUGUAGGCAAAUCCGCACAUCAUUAAGGCUGGGCUGUGAUGGGGAGCGAAAAUUGUAGUAGCGAAGGUCAUGAUCUCACACUGCCAAGAAAAGCCUCUAGCCAGGAGAAGGUGCCCGUACCGCAAACCGACACAGGUAGGCGAGAAGAGAAUUCUAAGGCGCGCGGAAGAACUCUCGUUAAGGAACUCGGCAAAAUGACCCCGUAACUUCGGGAGAAGGGGUGCCCCGGUAGUGUGAAUAGCACGAGGGGGCCGCAGUGAAAAGGCCCAAGCGACUGUUUAGCAAAAACACAGGUCUGUGCGAAGCCGCAAGGCGAAGUAUACGGGCUGACGCCUGCCCGGUGCUGGAAGGUUAAGGGGAGUGGUUAGGGGUAACCCGAAGCUAUGAACCGAAGCCCCAGUAAACGGCGGCCGUAACUAUAACGGUCCUAAGGUAGCGAAAUUCCUUGUCAGGUAAAUUCUGACCCGCACGAAUGGCGUAACGACUUGGGCGCUGUCUCAACGAGAGAUCCGGUGAAAUUUUAAUACCUGUGAAGAUGCAGGUUACCCGCGACAAGACGGAAAGACCCCAUGGAGCUUUACUGCAGCUUGAUAUUGAAUUUGGGUACGAUCUGUACAGGAUAGGUGGGAGCCGUAGAAAUCGGAGCGCAAGCUUCGGUGGAGGCGCCGUUGGGAUACCACCCUGAUCGUAUCUAGGUUCUAACCUAG
rnacentral:rRNA from 1 species